rnacentral:tRNA from 1 species
GCCUGGGUGGCUCAGUUGGUUGAGCGUCCGACUCUCGAUUGGGGGUCGGGUCGUGAUCUCGAGGUUGUAGGAUCAAGCCUGGCCUCAGGCU